CCUGGAGGAGGAAGUCUUGGCCUGGAUAGCUUUUGGCUACGCUGGAAGCUCCAAAAGUUUGUCUGUUACCCUCCAGGCUAAAUCAGCACCACAUGAUAGUUCUGAGAAUGAAGUGUAUAGUACCACAAGCCAAGAUCAAACAACUUCGUUCAUCCUCCCUCUUGAUAACUGCAGUCAGCGGGAGAAGAGCAGCGGUCAUGUUACAGGAACUUUUCCUUUGCACAUGUUUAUUUUACCAGCACUGGCAGAUAAUGAUCCAGGUAACUGUUGUUCAUCAGUUUCUGGAGCCUAUUCAUCAGGACCCCUGCUGUGCAGUUGUGGUUUUUUUCCCACAGUUCUGUUGUCGGUCCGAACACGUCUGAGUCCAGCAAAGUGCUGCAUGCUUUAAUCAGUUUCCACUAAACUGAUUUAUGUAAAUUUAAGCACUGCAGAAGAUUCAAAAAGACUGUGGUGACCAGUGAGCCGUGACCUCAGAGUCCCAGACCCUGUCGUGACACAGCUACUGUUAGUGCUAACAUGGCAUCAAGCUUCCUUACACCGCCCACAGCUACCAUAUCCUCCACCGUUUUGUGCUGCUGCUCCAUGAAAACACGAAGAAGACUCAAGUAUGCUGGUGAUCACGCUGCCUGUGUACAUGUGGAAAUAAUCGGACAUUUUGGUCGCAGGACUUUUAUCUGGGUGGCUACUGCUACAGCUCUGCAAUGCCCUCCAGCAAAGAAGAGUGCUGGCUAGAUAGUGUCACUUUCCAUUACCGCCAUGCCUGCCUUCCUAAAAUUAGAGAGGACGCCUCUGUAAACAUUGUAGGGGACCUUGGAAUGACUGCCAGCAGGAGCUUGGAUAUGACUAUAAGGAUUUCAGGUUGGUAGUCGGGAGAGGAGGAGAUAUAUCAAGUCAAGAGGAGAAAACAAAUGUGUGGUUGGUUGCUUCGUAUUUGUCCGUGUGACCUCACAUAGCCACAAAGAGUCAUUAGGUUCAGACGCGGGACACUAAUGAGAUUAGCUGGCUGUAUCUGUACAGACUUGAGGCUGUUACCCUCCAUCUUUACUGGUCAGACAAGUAAAGAAAAACAAAACUCGCUAACAUCUUUUGUUCAGACUCACACGUCCAAACGUGGCUUUUAAAUACCUUGACAGAGCUGUUGAAACAGCCUGAUAGUGUACGACUGACUGACCAACCAACCAAUAUUGUAUUUGCUAUGCCUGCCAGUAAUGGAAAGUGCAGCAAAGCGCAUGUCGAGAGAGAGAAAGACAGUCAGAGAGAGAGACGGGGAAAUAACUGUUAACUGUGCAGCCAAUAUCUCUGUCCCUGUCCUUUCUCUACUCUGCAUCGUGCGGCCUUGUGUGCUAGUGGUAAUCAAUGUUUGGUUAGUUAUUUGUGGAGUCACAUCCUGAGUACUGGCAUAGGGAGACGCCAAGGUCAGCGCACAGUGCACACAGGGUUACACCACAGCUGCUCAUGCACACAACAUAACAGGAUCACUCAGGUUGUGAUCUGAUUGGCUGAUUGCCCCCCGCCGCCCCCCCUGAAGUGACGGGCCUUCAUAGUCUCUCCGCUAUCUGUAACAGAGCUGCACUGUAUCUACAUUUUCCUCUUAUGACAGAUGUGUGCUGACAUUUAUGUGGAGUACGGGCGGGAGUCGCCGGGACUGAACACACACUCCAGGCGUACGUGCCAAAUGAAGGAGUGGUGGCGGUCCUGGCGAAGAACACGGAGCAGUUAAUGUGAUAUCUACCUGCCACAGCAGAGGUGUGUGCAGACGUAGCUCACCUGAGGUCUUUUUCCUCCAGGAUUCCUAUUGAUUACAAAGAGCUCUCAGUAAUCCCCUGUUUAUUUAUCAUAAUUGAUAAUUAUCAU